rnacentral:lncRNA from 1 species
GCUCAGUUUCCUCAUAGUUGAAGACUUUUGUCAAGGAUUUCAUAGUCCAAAGAGAAUUUUUUAAAAAAUCUGGUAUCCUAAAUUACGUCAUCAGACCUUUUCCCAAAGUAGCUUUUGAUUUGGAGGAACAUAAGGUAUAUUUUUUGUGUGCUGAGGUGAAGAAAGUUUGCCAAGAGAGAGGAGAAAAUAUACGCAGGAAAUUUUGUAUCUCUUUAGUCUAUCAGAGUCUGCGAUUCAGCCACUUAGAACUUUCAAGACAGUGUGUUGAAGGUAUGGAUGGGACUGAGGAAGAAUACAAUGGGAUAAAUUCUGUGAAUUUCAAGGCUAAUUAA